rnacentral:rRNA from 1 species
GAGGAAAAGAAAUCAACCGAGAUUCCCCCAGUAGCGGCGAGCGAACGGGGAGCAGCCCAGAGCCUGAAUCAGUGUGUGUGUUAGUGGAAGCGUCUGGAAAGGCGCGCGAUACAGGGUGACAGCCCCGUACACAAAAAUGCACAUGCUGUGAGCUCGAUGAGUAGGGCGGGACACGUGGUAUCCUGUCUGAAUAUGGGGGGACCAUCCUCCAAGGCUAAAUACUCCUGACUGACCGAUAGUGAACCAGUACCGUGAGGGAAAGGCGAAAAGAACCCCGGCGAGGGGAGUGAAAAAGAACCUGAAACCGUGUACGUACAAGCAGUGGGAGCACGCUUAGGCGUGUGACUGCGUACCUUUUGUAUAAUGGGUCAGCGACUUAUAUUCUGUAGCAAGGUUAACCGAAUAGGGGAGCCGAAGGGAAACCGAGUCUUAACUGGGCGUUAAGUUGCAGGGUAUAGACCCGAAACCCGGUGAUCUAGCCAUGGGCAGGUUGAAGGUUGGGUAACACUAACUGGAGGACCGAACCGACUAAUGUUGAAAAAUUAGCGGAUGACUUGUGGCUGGGGGUGAAAGGCCAAUCAAACCGGGAGAUAGCUGGUUCUCCCCGAAAGCUAUUUAGGUAGCGCCUCGUGAAUUCAUCUCCGGGGGUAGAGCACUGUUUCGGCAAGGGGGUCAUCCCGACUUACCAACCCGAUGCAAACUGCGAAUACCGGAGAAUGUUAUCACGGGAGACACACGGCGGGUGCUAACGUCCGUCGUGAAGAGGGAAACAACCCAGACCGCCAGCUAAGGUCCCAAAGUCAUGGUUAAGUGGGAAACGAUGUGGGAAGGCCCAGACAGCCAGGAUGUUGGCUUAGAAGCAGCCAUCAUUUAAAGAAAGCGUAAUAGCUCACUGGUCGAGUCGGCCUGCGCGGAAGAUGUAACGGGGCUAAACCAUGCACCGAAGCUGCGGCAGCGACGCUGAUGCGUUGUUGGGUAGGGGAGCGUUCUGUAAGCCUGC